rnacentral:rRNA from 1 species
UACGUAGGGGGCAAGCGUUGUCCGGAUUUAUUGGGCGUAAAGAGCGUGUAGGCGGCUUUUCAAGUCGGUUGUGAAAUCCCCGGGCUUAACCUGGGAACUGCAGUCGAGACUGUCUAGCUAGAGUAUGGGAGAGGGAAGUGGAAUUUCAGGUGUAGCGGUGAAAUGCGUAGAUAUCUGAAGGAACAUCAGUGGCGAAAGCGACUUCCUGGACCAAUACUGACGCUCAUGUGCGAAAGCGUGGGGAGCAAACAGG